UACGGAGGGUGCAAGCGUUAUCCGGAUUCACUGGGUUUAAAGGGUGCGUAGGUGGGCUAGUAAGUCCGUGGUGAAAUCUCCAAGCUUAACUUGGGAAACUGCCGUGGAUCUAUUAGUCUUGAAUAUUGUGGAGGUAAGCGGAAUAGUGUCAUGUAGCGGUGAAAUGCUUAGAUAUGACAUAGAACACCGAUAGCGAAGGCAGCUUG
rnacentral:rRNA from 1 species